UAAUAGGCUGGGGUUCCGCAUCAAUUGGUAUCAGAGCUAGGCUUAGUAAUAAUUUCUUAACUAUCCUUUGCGUCUUUGCAUUCAAUUUUGUCCAUUAUUGGCUGAAUAUAUCACUUUGGAAAUCUGGUUUGGGAUACCUAUUAAAGCUGAAUACAUUGUUUGGUUGUUGUUCAAAUCAAAUUUUACCCUAAAUUCUUGUUUAGGCUGAAUUACUAUCUUUAGUGAUUUGGUUUAUGCUUUCUGCC
rnacentral:lncRNA from 1 species